GGCGAACGCUGGCGGCGUGCUUAACACAUGCAAGUCGAACGGAAAGGCCCUGCUUUUGUGGGGUGCUCGAGUGGCGAACGGGUGAGUAACACGUGAGUAACCUGCCCUUGACUUUGGGAUAACUUCAGGAAACUGGGGCUAAUACCGGAUAGGAGCUCCUGCUGCAUGGUGGGGGUUGGAAAGUUUCGGCGGUUGGGGAUGGACUCGCGGCUUAUCAGCUUGUUGGUGGGGUAGUGGCUUACCAAGGCUUUGACGGGUAGCCGGCUUGAGAGGGUGACCGGCCACAUUGGGACUGAGAUACGGCCCAGACUCCUACGGGAGGCAGCAGUGGGGAAUAUUGCACAAUGGGCGGAAGCCUGAUGCAGCAACGCCGCGUGCGGGAUGACGGCCUUCGGGUUGUAAACCGCUUUCGCCUGUGACGAAGCGUGAGUGACGGUAAUGGGUAAAGAAGCACCGGCUAACUACGUG
rnacentral:rRNA from 1 species